rnacentral:tRNA from 1 species
UAGCUUUUGGUGUAGGGCACAUUAAAUUUUGAAUUUAAAGGAAAUAUUUCAUAAAUAUUAAA